GAAUAAUCAAGAAAGCAAAAAUGAACAAAAACAAAACAAGCAAAGAUGGACUUUUCCUUUUCUAACUCCAAGCAACCCCCCUGAUGUAUUCUCCAACCCCCACAAAAAGCCCUUACAAUUUGAGGGUGGACUAGCUCUACUGCAACCCUGAGUUUCCUUCAUUUGAGGAUACCAAGUUGAAGAAGUACCACCAUCAAAAUGCUAUGAUAACUCUACCUCUAAACUCUUGGAACUAAGCAUGCCAUGCUCCUUAAAGAAAAAGUGUCCUGGUUUGCAUUAGUGACCCUCUCCACGAUGACUUGGACCGGAAUAGGCUCGGUUUGUGAAGAACUCUUUGAUGGGUGAAGGAAAAGGCUGGUCCUUGAGAGGUCUCAAGCCAUCAACAUGCAUGGCAUAGGAGAGGAAGAGGAAGAAGAUGAUGAUGGAAAUGGUAUUGAAAGCAAAAAUGAGAGAAUGGCUCUUCAUUAUGGUGGCCUUUGUGUGUGGUUAGGCUAUUGGGUUUUGGUAGUUUUGAGAUAUGGUAUGUAGGGAGAAUGGAAAUAAGGACUUGUAUAUAAAGGAAAUGAAGAAGGGUGUUUGUGUGUUUUUCUUGACUUUGGUAAUUGUUGGUGUGUUUUGUAUAUUGAAAGAUUUGAAUUUGGAGUUCAAACUUUGAAAAUAGGAAUGUAGGUGGAUCAAAACAUAUGGCCAAGUCAAUGUCGGGCAAAAUAUAACUAAGUUGUUAGUCUUUUGGUAGGCUACAAAUUUAGCUUUUUUAAUAUGUUUGGUUGUUAUUUAUCUUGAACUUGGAACUAAGUUCCGUACUGUCACAACCCAACCAUGAAUGUAAAGUUGUCCCCUUGCCCCGACUCAUCCCACUCUCUCCACCUUCCUUUCCCAUUGAGACCCUUAAUGGGUCAAACACACAUCUCACACGUAGAAUGAAAACUAGCACAUUGGCCUUUUCAUUAGUCAAACCUAGAAACUUUCGUCUAUAUUAGGGUGUCUUUAGAUGGAGUUGAUGGAUUUGGUGAAAGUUUUAAGAUUGUUUCUCCACUGGAUAUUUGGUACUUCUUUUCAUAUGUUUCUUUCCCUUGAAGCAAUACGGCAACCACAUAAAAUAUUGGAAAUCAAACACUAGGAAAAUACUUACAACAUGGACUCUUUUUGGUGGGGAAGUAUUUUUCAAAACUCUAAACACACAUAUUUGACCGGUUUGAAGGAGGAGGAGGAGGAAGGAGGAGGAGGAGGAGGAGGAGGGUACGUGUUAAUUACUACCAUUAACAAAAUCUCUUGUUCAAAUGUUUUCGCCUCACCAACCACAGAGUUCCAUUUCCCUUUCACAAUAUAUUUGACCAACUUAGUUGCCUUUGACUUUGAUUGUAAACCCUGCAAAAAUUUUAUGGUUUUAUCUCCCUCUCUUCUUUCUUUAUUCAACCAUGUGCCAUAGUUGUUUGCUAUAUACAUUUUCACUCCUUGAUGCUAUCAAAAGUUCUUUACAAGUAUAAAAAUGUUGAUGCGAAAACAAGGUGGAUUGCACCAGAACUCCACGCCUCUUUUCCUUGAUCAACAUUUUUUCUGCCCAGUCUAACCAUAUUUUUUUCCCCUAUUUUCUUGUUUACAACUAUUUGGCCAAAUAAAACUUGGACAGAACUUUGAAAAAAUUGUAGUUGUAGAAAUUUGAAGUAAGAGGAAACGUGAUAUUGACCAAUAUGCUGAAAUUAGGGAACCCAGCAGAGAUUAAUAGAUGAAGUAAUGUGAAUGUUAAUAAUACAUGUUAGGAUGGCUACGAAAACAGUCAAAUGAAGGUAGGAUUAUUCGAGUCAAGAAUACAUAUCCACCUACACAUGGAAGAGGAGGUGGGAGUUGAAUGAGUCAAGAUAUAUCUUCUUCUUGAUGUCUCCAAGGAAAUCCUCUUGCCUAUCACACUUAAAUGUAAAUGUUAAAUCCAAAUCUUGUUUUGUUAUGAUCAAAACAUGAAAUUAACCAAACCUUGGUCUAACAAAGAUCACCUUAAGAUUUGCAAAUGUUUGAUGUUGAAGGGUAUACUACAACAAUUUAGCCUGUGCAUUUUUCCUUUAACAUUAGUGGAAGGAGUAGCUAUUUCUCACUUGCCUCAAAAGAAUUUCAUGAUCAACAAUAUAGUUUUAAUAUCUUAUGUUGAUUCCAAUAUAACCUAGUGAGAUGUCAAAAGCAUGAUCCACACAAACAAUGAACCACAUUCCUAUUGUUGUAUCUAAAAUUCACAAAUCGUUUGCUUACAUCAUCUAUAUAUUUUAAUCUGCUUGGCUUGUAUAUCAUGUAUGUUUAUGAAAACUUUGCAAAUGCUUUCCAUCUUUUGCCCUCUGUCAUUGGGUUCUUUGAUAUUCAAAAGCACUUGCCUCUUGAUUAUGUGCAUUAUUAUUCAUGGGGAAGAUAUAUCCACUAUAAGGAAAGUUCCCAAAUGUGUGUUUGUUUUUUUGUUGUGUGUGUGUGUGGAUAGAGAAAUAAAUGUAUUAGAAAGCACCAAACAAGGGGCUGUAACCAAAGUACACAAGAGCUAUACAGGAGACAUUCGAUCAAAAGAGCAAUAAGUUGCAACUGCCGGCAAGCAGGGAGGCCCAUGACUGAUCCUAACCUGUAAAUAAAUACUUAAAGAGAUAAACCUUUCUUCUAAAGAGUCCUCAGACCAAACAAAGUGAAAUUUAAAAAAAAAAAUAUUUUCAGAUUCUUUUGUUCUUCUGUGACACUAUUAUAAACUUGAUAAUGCCAUUCUCCACACCAUAAACUCCUCUUGUAUGUGGAACUUCCCUACCACCUAGUUAAUAUCUUCUUUACUGACUUUCUCCAUGUAAGUUUAAGAAAAUAAUGGAUUUGUAAUGAUCACCACAUAAUGAUGUUACUAUUUUUUGUUUUAUAACAAUAAAAUCUUACAUGAUGCAUGCAUUAAAAUUAAGGAUCUUUUGAAGCAUUAAAAGUUGUAUAGUGAGAACAUUUAAUCAACUAUAUAAAUAUUCCAUAUGUAUAACUGGGUCUUGCAAAUAUCCUUUUGAUAAGAUGUUAGAGACUCAACUCGAAAUCAAGAAUGGAACAAAAGAGAUGGAAAUGUCUUUUAGUUUCUUGUUCGUGGUGUGAAUUAAUCUGAAAAGUCCAUUCUGGGGUGCUCUUAAUUCAUUGGUCAUUGAGUUCUGAAUUUAUUGUUGUUACUAUUUUUUGUUUGUCCCAUAUGCCUGCUGACAUGGUGAGCAAGCAAUCUCAGUGCCAAGGUUGAGAGUGCUAUUCAUGGGUUAAUUUUGAGGGUUAAUCCAUAUUCCUAAUCAUACUAUGUCAUAAAAAGGCCCAGGAUUGAUAAAUUAAUGGUUUUCUGCUUUUCAGGUAUUAGAAGUUACACAAUGGACAGUUAAUAAUGUGUUCAUUUCUUAAAAAAUUGCAACGUUUUCGUAGUACAACAUUCCUUUCAAGAAAGACAACUAAAUCUUGGAACAAGAUAUCAUUCUGGAUGCUGAAAUAGUUUCAAACUUCAAACUACAUAUAGGAUUUGCAUCUCUUACUGUAGAAAUCCGUGUUAGUAAUGUGGAUCUUGCAGGAGAAAUACAACAUUCUAAUGUAAUAAUCUUGUUUGGUUCUAUCAUCAUGCUGAAGCUGGAACUAGGAGUAGAAUUCUUAUUAAAAAACAAGAUUGUAGUAAGACAUCCUAAUUUUAACAUACAGUCACGGGCUUGUCUAAUUUUGGAAAAAUUAAACUAUACAUUUCUUUUCAUAGGCAAACAAGAUUAUACAUUGAAAGGGCCUAACAAAAAAUGAGGCACAAUCCUAGUACACUUGGAGUAUAGAAAGAGCACAAACGCAAGCAAAAAAGCAAUAGAAAACACAAAAAAAAACCUAUAUAGCCUAAUCUUGACCCAAGCCUCAAUGAAAUCCAUCAAGGAAAGGUCAACUCCCCAAAGGAUCUUUUAGUCCAUUCAAAAAGACAUUUUCAGGAAAAUGACUUUCAACACUUGAUCUGGAUGUUUGUGCUCCUUUCAUAUACACCAAAACAAGCAAAGGGGGCCAAGUUCCACAUUCUUUGUUAUCUUUUCUGCAUUCAUGCUCUUUUCCAGCCUAAGAGAAGCAAUCUGACAGAUUUUUGCAAAUACCUACUGCAAGCCAAAUAUAGCUAGAACUAGGGAUUUGAUGCAUUGGAUAAGAGUAUGAAAUUCUAACUCCUUGACCCUACACAGACAACCUAUUAGCCAACAUCCAGCUCCUCUUCAUAAGCUGAUCAACUGCCAAAAUACUUUCCCAAACAGUUUCCCAUGGAAACAGCCAUGAAUGGGCCCUGUAAUUCCAGAUUUGCUUGAUUGGAAAGUCCUGGGAGAUUUCAGAAGUUAAGGAAUAAUAUAGUAAGACUUGACAGAAAGACUCCCAUUAUUCACCCCAGUCUGGCGCAAUCUCUCCUCUCCUAAACCACGGACACACAUUGUGUGAAUGUGCCAAAAAGUUCUUCUCGCUUCCCCACUCUCCCAAUUGUAAUAACCCCAAUGAAAGCAAAUGUUUCAACCUCUCCAACCCCCUCCACUCAAAGAUCCCCCUACUUUAGCAUUUCUUUUAGAAUGCAUUCUGAACAAGGAAGUUAAACUGAUCUUUCAACACAGAGUCACCAGUCCAUCUAACUAGACUUGGUUUUUGCCCCAGUCGCAAUAGAGAUGCUAGUCACGUGCCAAAACUCAUUCCACUCAUGUCUAAUAGCCUCCCAAAGACGCACUCCAAAAGCCUUUCCUAACUUGUUGGAUCUCCAACCACCCUCAAUCUCAUCAAAUUUGCCAUCAAUAACCUGUUUCCAAAGGAAAUGGUGCUUCCCAACCCCCAUUACCAUUUCCCAAGAAGAGCCUUGUUAAGGGUUGCUAGCCUUAUUACAUCAUGACCACCAUUAUUCUUUUCCUCAAUUUAUGGGUUCCUAUAAUAAUGAAAGAAACAGUGUGCUAUGGUUCAAUAAUGUUGCAGUCAUCCAUCUAGUAUUUUGUACUGCUAUCCUAUCAUUUUGUGUUGGGUUCGCUCCAAAAAAGGGUAUGUUUUAUGGAUUAGGCAUGCACCUUGUGAAAUGAUUAAUUAGCCUUUUUCCUUUUAUAAGGGUGGAUUUUGUUGUGGUUGUUUUGGGAAAGAAUUUGAGUUUGAAUGUUACAUUCACAUGCCCCAGUUUGGGGAGAAUAAAGUUUAACAAUUGUAGAUUGGAUUCAUCCUAAUUUUAUCUGUUUUCCCUUGCUAGCUAUUGGAGGUUUCAUCAUUGUUGAGAUGCUGUUUAGCUCUAGUCUUCUUGCCAUUGUUGGAGCUGGUGAGCAGGUGCUUGGUGGUCUACUGAUUUGUUGUGCUAGAUGGUGUAGCCCUUUUAUUAAAAGUACAUUUUCCUACUAACUUCUCUUAGUUUCUGAUUGAUCAUUUACCAUGGUUCCAUCUGACUCCACAGCUAUCUUUAUCCCCACGCCGUCUCUGUUUGUUCAACACUACAACUGGAGCUGCCCUCCAAGAACUAAAUUUUUCAACUGCUGUCCUUGCCAUUCGUCUAAAUUGGAAAAGGUAAAAACCACUUACCAUAUCUUGCUUGUUUUACUAUUUGUUUUCCCCAUAACAAUUGCUAUUUUAUGAAUUCAAAGCAAUACUUAGUGGUAUUUGUUUUUUUUUUAUUUAAUUCUAAAUAGAAUUUAAGAUUAAAUAAUGUUUAAUAGUGUUAAGUAUUAAGUUGUUUAUUUUUUUAAUAUUUUAUUUUUAUUAAGUAUUAAGAAGUAAAGAAAAAUCAGCUUAUUACUUUUAUCAUUAAAGAACAAGUCAAAUAUUUUAAUUUUUUUUUAUUUACUAAAAAAAAUUAAGAAAUAAGUAAUAAGUUAAUAAAAAGUAAGAAAAAAAAACAUCUAAAAUUUGAAAGCAACUUGUUUUUAACAAAAAGUUCAAAAAACAAACAGCAUCUUAGCUUUUUUUAUAUACAAAGACUUCAGUUUCACCCAAAAAUUGUCAUCUUGACAUGGGUGCAGGUGUGGGUGUGAGAUCUAUGUUUGACCGGCUUAGAUUGCAUUGUAUACAACUUUAAAUUUUUUUUAAUAUAAAUUUAUUUGCUUGUUUUAAAUAACACCAAUAAGUUAUUUGACUCUUAUCUCUAUUUUAAUUUAUUUUUAAAUUAUAAUAGAUAAUAGCAAUUAUUUAUUAUUUCAUAAAAAGAAAUUAUAAUAGAUAAUAACAAUUACCUUUUUUUCAUUCUAAAAAAUAUAUUAAAUUCAAACUAAUUUUAUCAAUUUAAAAUAACAAGAUUUAAAAAAUAUUUUUGCAUAGAAAUUAUACUUAAGUUGAAUUAUAUCAAUGUUAAAAUAUAUAAAAUUUUAAAAUAAAUUAGCUUCAAUUUAAAUAAUUAAAAAUAUAAAUUUUGAAAGUUUUCAAUAAGUUCACUUAAGAUCAACUAUAUAUUUUUCUAUAAGUUUCCAACAUUUAUUUAAAACUAAAAAAUUAAACUAAAAAAAAUUUGUUUAACAUUUUAUUAAACUAAAAAAUAUAUGAAAAUUAAUAACAUAUAAAAUUCAAAGAUAAUUUCAGUAACUAAAUAAUAAAAAAUAAAAAAAUGAAAUUUAAUAUAUUAAAAAUAAAGAGAGAAAUAAAAAAAAUUCAGUAAGUUUAAAUUAAAAUAAAAUACAUAUGAUAACUAUGAUAAUUAAUGUUUUAUCUAAGCAUGGAUCGGCACCCAUAAUUGAGAUCCUUUUAAGCUGAAUCCCUGUAUCUUAAAAUUUUGGGAUGCCAAGGAUUUGACACUUGGACAUAUACCCACACUUGACAUUCGUACCUGAACCCAUGUAACAUAGCUUAGUAAUUUCAGUUUGAAAUUUGAAGCUAAACUGUUUUUAGUUGUUACUUGGAACCGAAUUAAUAUUGUUAAGCCAACAUAUACCAAUUAUUGUCAAGCUUUUGUGCUGUUACUCUUGCCUUAGACAGUAGUAUAGCUUGUCUAGCUUUUGAUCAGACCUGUUUAUCAGAUUAUGCAAUUGGGAAAGGAUUUCUUCUUGUUUUUAUACUUACUAAUUUCAUGUCAAUGAUAGAUGUUUGUUUCUGCUAAAACAAAUAAAUCCAGUUUUUGUCACUUUUACACUGAGAAUUAACUUUUCAAUGAUGAAUAGAUAAGUCAUUGCUCUAAUUGUUCAUCCCUCUAGAUAGGGAUGCUAAAUUUGAAGAGUAGUUCCUUCUAGUAGUUUGACUUGUGCAAUAAAAAUUAGUGCAUAUCACUAGUUAAGAAUAUAUGGGAUAAGCUUGGUUCUAGGAGGAUUGCUUAUUCAUUUUUCUUCUUUUCAGAAUUCUUGCUGUGCUUCAUUAUUUUAGGUUUCCAGCUUUAACUUUUUUUUUUUUUUUUCCAAUUACUUUGAUAUUAUGAAUCAUCUGUAACAGCAGAAGUGGUCCUGGAUAGGAACCUUUAUGGAAAAUGAAUCAUUAUGGCAAUGAGUAGUAGAAUCUUUCAGAAGGUCCUCUUCUGUAAGCCUUGUCAAGACUUUGAAAAUGCACAAUAUAAAGAUCCUUGAGAAUACUAUCUGUUCUUUCUCAAGUGUUUAUUUAUUUAUUAUUUUUGUCUUGAUGCUAAGUAGUUUUUAAUUGAUUAGCUUAUGAUAUUGAUCUGAAACAAAAUAUGGCAAUGUUGACUGUUGUAUUUUGUUUCUUCAAGGAAACUGGUUGUGUAUUUUGUUGUGCUCUUUUUAGGUUUUUUUUCCCCCUAUAUAUGCAGGUUUAUUUAUUUAUUUAUUUAUUUGUCUUUUCUCAUUCACACAAUCAAGGAUCUGACUUUAGUCUUCACCUUUGGUCAUUCCAUCCCUCCCUGUGCCCCUGGGGGUAUAUUUUAUAUUUCUCCAUCUGGAAAGGUUCUUUUUAUUUAUUUUUUCUAUUUUAGAUAUAAGUUUUUCUAUUUGGGAGGAAUUUUAUCUAGCAUUAAAGUCUGAAUUUAGAAAAAAGGAAAAAGAAAACAUAUUGAAGGAAUGAGAGGACUCCAAAUCACACAGGAGAGAAGGGAACUCAACCCCUUUAGAUGAUCUUAUUUGAGAGUUAUCUGUCAUCCUAUGUUAACAUGGCUUUUACCUUUCCUUAGCCCUUCUUUUCCUUUGAAUCCCAUUUAUCUAAAAUGUACAUUAAAGAUGAAAGAGUAAAUUUUCCACUCUGUGAUCUCCUACAGAGGCUUUCUAAACUUGGUUUCAUUAGUUCACAAUGUCAACAGACCUCCCUUCCUUGUUCUUAUCAAUCACAUCUCUUGGGCUUUGACUAUGAAACUUGUGAAAUUAAAAAUGAGGGACAAUCUCACACCCUCUUAUCUUCCAAAACAAAUGAUUUUCUUCACCUAAACCAACCACCUAUUAAUCCUCCUCUUCCCUACUCCAACUGGCCCUUGAAAUCUGUGAACUUUCUGCCUCCAUAUUAACUUCAAAAUGGCUUUCCAGAGGUGUCAACCAUAGUGAGUCUCAACUUCAAUAUGUCCCUAUCCAAGAUUAUUAAUGUUGCGCUUUGCAAAAACCAUAAAAUUCCUCAAGUUAGUGCUCUCCUCAUACAAAUGCCAAGCUAUUUUUGUGAAUAUAUGAUCUUUUUGUUCCUUGUGUUUCAAAUAUUUCAACAUUUUGUGAACUUUAAACUUGUUCUGCCUUUUAUGUUAUUCUUUGCUGCCUCUGGAUAUAGUUUUGACAAUGGAAAACUUGGAACAGUUUGUGAGACACUUGGUAGGCCAUCAAAAUAUGGAUGCAUGUACAAAUAUUCCCUUGCAGUUUGAGCUGUAAGAUGUGUCAUCUCAUCUUGAGGUCAACUUAUUUUUGUUUUGUUAAGCAUCCAUGUGUUAGUGUGGACUCAUCUUUUCAACUACUGAAGUCUCUUGGAGUUUCUCCAUGACCUGGUUCUAGUUUCCCCCUUAGCUUGGAUUCAUUCUUUACCUUGUUGCCUAUCAACAAUUAUAGUCCACAUGCUAUAUCUCAAGUUUUUAUUUUCUCAAUGGAACUUGUCUGAUUUCAUAUAGCAUGGUUAAUCUGGUUGUUUGUUUUGUUUUGUUUCAUUUUUAUUCUAUUUUUAUUUUUAAUAUAAAUUUUCAAUUUGAGAGUAGAAUGUUGAGGAGUGUACAAAUCCAGCAUACAGAUUUAGUUUAUCCAUGUCUCUGAUCAUUUCCAAAUUGCAAGUGACCAAAAUCAUUCAAUAAAGAUAAAAUCCAUGAUUAGGACAUUUCAAUAAAAUUUUGCAACUUCUAGGAAUCUGGUUUGGCCCAUUGUACAUCAUUAUUCUCUCAGUAUCAUACUUCUAUUCUUUUUCCACUCUCGUUCAUAUUGAUAUACUAUGUAAAUGCAGACUUGUUGUAGUGUUGCAAGAAAAGACAUACAUUUAUGAUCUAAAUAGCCUCUCUAUCUUGGACACUAUAGAUACUGUGCCGAAUUCAAAAGGUGAGGGUAGAACAUCUUGUAAGGUUAUAAAAUAAAUUUAUAACACAUACAGCGGAAAAUUGAUCUAUUUUGCAUUCAAAAUAUAUACUGCAGCUAUCAAAAACUUUAAAAUAAUAACCUGGAUAUCAGUUCUUCAAGCAUAAAAUUUUCUCCAAUUGUAUGAAGACUUUACGUGUAUCCACACCGAAAUUAAUCUUUGCUAUCAACCCUUUGAUACGCGGAACUUAAUAAAAAAAAUAGAACAACACUUUUAUUUCUUUGGCGUAAAAACAAGGAGGAUAAAGAUAGAUCGAUCCUUAUUCAGAUUGUGUAUGUAUGCUAUAUAGCAUAUCCGAUACAACUUCUGUUUUAAGUGAUAAGAUAACUCAACUAAUUUGAUUUUUGAUUUUAUCACUUAAUCUAUCUCUAUCGUGUCUUCCUUCUUUUUUGGGCUACUAAGAGAUUCUAUUGGUCCAUUUGUUUUUCUUUUGCUAUUUUCAAUAGCAUUUGAAAAACACUUUGACCAAGUCUUGUAAGUUAAAAACAAAACCCACAUCCCUCCUGUAAGUUGCUGCAUGUACCCAUAUGUUUGCAAAUGUUUAGCAAACAUUCUCGUGGACUAACUUCCACAUCCAAAGAAAAAUAUUUUAUUUUUUUUAUCUAUAUAUUAAUUAUAUUCUUGGUGCUAACAAAGAAUAUAAUAAUAUUCCACAUAGAACAUAUUUAUUUAUUUGAUUAAAAUUAAAUUCUCUAAUUUAAUUAUCAAAUAAUAAUAAAUAGCUCUUUGCAAAGAUUAAAACACUCGUUUGUGUGUGACCCCGUAGGUUCAUUACUAAGCUGGUAGUAAAUUAAUCAAAUCAAUUUACUAAUUAAGGUAGGCGUCUAGCAACACUCCUUAACGUCCAGAUAGUAUGAAGUAAUAUCUUUUACUUUCAAGAACCGGUAGAAGAAUAAUGUAAUAUUUCCUUCCAUCAUUUACAGCUCUGGGCUAACUCUAGAGUAUGGUAUUACUAUCAAACUCUAAUAAGUCAACACAUUAUUUAUUUAGUGAAUGACUUAAGAAACUCAUUUCUUCAUUCAUUCAAUUGCCCUUGGCCAAGGUCUUAUUUUUAUCAUAGAGCUCAAACUCAUUACCACGAGUUGAUGGAUUCCUUCUUGAUUAAUCAUUAAUUCUACAAGUAUUUAAUUAUAUCCAAUAUCCAUUCAACUAGUGCCCUAAGGCAUUAGGUGUCCGGGAUUAAAAUAUAAUAAAUAACUUGUUAAUUACUUUGAUAAUCUCAAGUCAAAGAAAACUAUUAUAUUUCUUCUUGAGAAAUUCCUAUUGACAAUUUAAGGUAAAGAUAACCAUUAGAAAUUCUCAGUUGAGUCAGUUCAAUGAUCACAUCUACAUGUGCAUCAUCUAUAUAUGUAAUUUAACAAAUGAGAUAUAUCAAUCUUUAUCCAAUAAAGACCAUCACAUAUAUAUUGAUCUAUCUGGAUUAUUGAUGUCCUGUUGACAAUAAUCCUAUGAUCAAGAACAGUUUAGAUUAAAAUUAUUAAAAGAAUUGCUUCCCAUUAUCAUAAUCUCUAUCAUGAUAACAAUUUUCAAAUUUUAAUCAAGGACCUUAUCAUAUAAACUAUUUUAAACAGAUAUGAUAAUGAAAUAAAGAAUUAAUACCUUAUUAAAACUAAAGUUGAUUACAUGAUAGAUUGGAUCUUGGGCAUACAUUUAUCCCCAACACAUCUUAUAGAAUUUUUUCAAUAUUUAAAUAUUCAGAAUACCUGGGCUAUCAACCAAUUGUAGAGCUGUUUUUUCUCCUCAUGUAAUGAUAUCUAUCUAGUGUCCAAAUAUAGCAAGCAACCUGUCGUUUAUGCUUUUAUACAUGUAUGCUAUGCAUUUACAGUUGUUUAGGUUGUUUUCCAUGUAGAUUUCACAUGAUGUGUUCUUCAUUUCAGUUGCUGGAUUUUUUAUUAUAUAACUCGAUGUAUUGUCCUAUAUAUAGCAAAGUAAUGGACAUAUGUGUUUAAGAGCUUCCUGGUUAGCUCUACUUUUAUUGAUUGAUUAACUUCCUAUGGUACAAGACCAAGUAAGCAUGGUUGCAUGAGUUGAGGGAAAUCCAUGAAGGGUAUUAAUAAGAUAAUUUAGUGAAGGAAUUGAAAAGUUUAAUAUACCUGCAAUUUGAUGACUGCAGUCAUAAAGUUGUAUGAAAUUUGGAAGAUAGACACAGGAAAAUGCAUGGUUUUCCACAGAAAGGUUCUAAAAAAUCAUUUUGUGUUUUAGGUGUAGGGACCCCUCCCCCUGAUGACACAUGGCGCGCAUCGCUAUCCGGAGCAACUCCAUCCGGACUCCCCAAGAGAACACGUGGCACACUCCCCUAUCCGGACUCCCCAGGGGAGGCACACGGCACUCGCAAACAUCAUGUCCGAAUGAUAGCAUAUCCUAUCCGGAUAUGCUGUUUGGAUCAUUGACUGAAGUAAGCAAGCCUUGCUAAGUCAUCCCCGACAGCCUGCCAUAGCCCACGUUCCGCCGCCUGCAGAGCGAAAGGACAGGAGCGAUGGCAAUUAGCCUCCCACGAUCUUUGACAGCCACCUGCAAGGUGAUGAUGGCUCUGCCACCACUUUGAGGGCAUCAUGAUGAGCCAAAAAGUCUUCCCACCAUUAAAGAGGGAGGCAGAGCUUCUGACACUAUAUAAAAGGACCUUCACACAAGGAAGAAGGUAAGCUUACUAUCCCUAUAUAAAAGGACCUUCACACAAGGAAGAAGGUAAGCUUACUAUCCCUGAAAAAGGCCGACAGCUUAAUCUCUUGAGCCAUGGCUAACAAAACCAUCGGAGGGUGUGUCCGGACAUCCUGUCCGGACAUCUUUUGCAAGGAGACUAAACCAGAACUCAAUCUUGGUUGAAAGCAUGCGUCUACUUGGCAGCUACGUGGAUCAUUGGGACGCAAGGCAUCAACAUUGGCGCCAUCUGUGGGAAUCCUCUGAUUCAGUCGACGGCAAAGAUGUCCACACCUUCCAAAAGCCGCUCGUCGGCUAGGGGAAACGAAGAUUAUUUCGACUAGCGCCAAGCCAUUGAGAGAAGACAGUUAGAAAGUGAGCGACAAAUGCAAGCUCUCCUCCAGGAAACAGCGAGACUGAGGGAAGAAAACGUUGUGUUGCGAAUUCAGGCUUCAUCGACGGGGCCUCCUCGUGGUCAGAGCUCGAGAGACCAAGAAGUAAACUCAAGGCUUGACCCAGAGUCAAUAUACCCUGGGACUGCGGGGGCCGUCCCUGAGACGGGCUAUGUUAGACCACAAGAGCGACACACGCCCAUGCACCAAGCCCCCCAGAAGGAAAGCUCAGACUCUACUCGUCUCUCAGCAAAGAGACAACGCAACAAAAGACCCCAGUUGUCAAACGCUAUGCAUGCGAGGCUAGGCCCACAGGAGCCUGGAAGGCCAAGGCCGCCAGUAGCCGCGACCUGGGAAGCGCACCCUGACCCUCUGGUCACUCUCAUGGUGCAGAACGUUCCCCCGCACUAAGCGGUAUGACAAGCUGGGAGAAACCCCCCAAACGAGCCACACACUGGCUCCAUCAGCAAAAGGCUGGACGACAUGCUCUCCACGCCUUUUUGCUCUCAUAUUAUUCAUUACGACCCCCCAAGGGGAUUCCUCGUGUCUAAAUUUUCCACGUAUGAUGGGUCCAGCGACACCUUCGACCAUAUCAUACAUUAUUGACAACUCAUGACUCUCGAUAUAGGAAACGACACGCUGCUAUGCAAAGUAUUCCCCGCCAGCCUACAAGGGCAGGCCCUCUCAUGGUUUCACCGCCUGCCUCCCAACUCUAUUGAUAAUUUCAAGGACCUGUCGGAAGCUUUCGUGGGACAAUACUUAUGCUCCGCUCGGCAUAAACAGAACAUCAGCACUCUGCAAAACAUAAAAUGUAGGAGAACGAGUCUUUGAGAGAAUUCGUGAAGCGGUUUGGUCAGGUCAUGUUACAAGUAGAGGCUUACAGCAUGGAUGUUGUCCUACAGAUCUUCAAGCGAAGCAUCUGUCCAGGCACCCCAUUCUUCGAAUAGCUAGCUAAGAAGCCUCCUACGACGAUGGACGACUUGUUCCGGCGCGCGAGCAAAUACUCAAUGCUCGAAAAUGACGUGCAAGCAACCACCCAGCAAAUCCUAGUUGCCGGACAGGCAUCCAAAAGUGAUGCGGAAAGAAGUGCCAAACUUUCGGACCGGCCAAGGUCGUCCGAUCGAAGGCAAGAAGAACAAAACCACCCAGAACUGCUGCCCCUCACACCCCUUUCCAUAUCUUAUGAGAAGUUUCUCUCUAUGAUCCAAGACAUGUUCGACUUCAGGUGGCCUGGACCCCUCAGAGCGGACCCAUCCAAAAGGGAUCAUAGUAAAAAAUGUGUCUACCAUAAGGAGCAUGGUCACACAACUGAAACGUGCAGGAGCCUCCAUUAUUUGGUCAAAAAGCUCACAAGGGCGGGACAUUUGAAGCAAUACAUCCGCUCAGAUGCCAGAGGUAGAGACGCUUCCCAAAAUCACAACUCUAGAACCCCCAGGGUUCCAACCGCCCCCAAAGCCAUUAUAAACUAUAUCAAUGGAGGCCCAUUAGACGAGGAAUACGACUCCAAAAGAAAGAGACAGAGAUUGUUGCGGGCAGCAUCGGUGCGUGAGCGCGUCAACUCCAUACGGUUUGGGAUAACUGGAAGGGAGGGGCCUCGCCCCAUAGAUGGGACAAUCAUUUUCCCACUAGUAGACCCCACACGGAUAUUGCAGCAGCACUGCAACGCCCUCAUCCUGUCCCUGGAGAUGGGAGACUGUCAACGUACUACCAGUCCAAGCUGGCCCAGUCACUCUCAACGUACAAUUUUCGGUGGUACAAGAUUUAUCACCCUUCAAUGUCAUCUUGGGGCGCACAUGGCUGCACUACAUGAAAGCCAUCCUCUCUACGUAUCAUCAAAUGGUAAGUUUUCUUACCGAGGAAGGGCAAAUCGACCUAUACGGCAGCCAGUUAGUCGCUCGCUAAUGCUAUCAAAUAGCACGAGAAGUAAGGACUAGCCAGGAGGAUAAACCCCUCCUUGAGUCCACCCACGCACUUGACCAAUAGCAAUUACUUAGUCCGGCGGACAAAGAUCCCCCGACAGUGGAUCCCUUGCAGACGAUCCAAAUUUCGGAAGAAGAUACUCACCUUACAUAUAUCAGUUCCCUCUUGACACUUGAAGAGACCCGGAACAUCCAAAACGCCCUCCGACAAAGCCAUGACGUCUUCGCAUGUGCGCAUUCUGAUAUGAAGGGAAUUCACCCCUCCAUUGUUUCUCAUAGGCUUAACGUCUUGCCAACAGCAAGGCUUGUCCGAUAGAGGGUUAGACGUUUUCACCCGGACAGCCAAAAGAUUAUCAGGGAUGAGAUUGACAAGUUGCUGGAAGCCGGAUUCAUUAGAGAAGUGGAGUAUCCGGACUGGUUGGCAAAUGUAGUAGUGGUACCCAAAAAGGAAGGCAAAUGGCGGGUGUGCGUCGAUUACACCAACCUCAAUAAUGCAUGCCCAAAAGACAGUUUCCCUUUGCCACGGAUAGACCAAAUUGUGGACUCCACUGUUGGGCAAGGAAUGCUCUCCUUCUUGGACGCCUUCUCCGGAUACCACCAAAUCCCCAUGGCCCCAGCCAACGAAGAGAAGACAGCCUUCAUAACGCCACACGGUCUUUAUUGCUACAAAGCCAUGUCGUUCGGACUCAAAAACGUUGGAGCCACUUAUCAGAGACUGAUGACGAAUAUCUUCAAACCUUUGGUCAACCGCAUAGUGGAGGUAUAUAUUGACGAUAUCGUGUUUUAAAGCAAAACCCAAGAGGAACAUGCCUUCCACUUGCAAGAAGUCUUCCACCUCUUAAGGAAGUAUGACAUGAAAUUGAAUCCUUCUAAAUGCGUCUUUGGCGUAAGUGUUGGAAAAUUCUUGGGAUUUAUGGUCAGCCAAAGAGAGAUAAAGGUUAGCCCGAAUCAAGUUAAGGCAUUCAUGGAAACACCACCCCCCAAGAGCAAAAAGGAAUUACAGCGCCUCACAAACAAGCUCGUCGCAUUAGGACGCUUUAUAGCCCGCUUCACUGAUGAACUACGACCCUUCUUCUUGGCAAUAUGAAAAGCUGGAGCGAAUGGAUGGACGGACAGCUGUCAGAGCGCUUUCGAAAAAAUUAAACAUUGCCUCAUGCAACCGCCCAUUCUAAGCAGCCCCCUCCCUGGAGAAAAAUUGUAUAUGUACCUGGCUGUAUCGGAGUGGGCAAUUAGCGCUGUUCUAUUUCGCUGCCUCUCGCGCAAGGAGGAGAAACCUAUUUACUACGUUAGCAGAGCGUUGGCGGACGUAGAAACAAGGUAUUCAAAGAUGGAGCUAACGGCCUUAGCCCUUCGAAGUGCAGCCCAGAAGCUCUGCCCUUACUUCCAAGCCCAUCCGGUGGUCGUUCUAACUGACCAGCCCCUUUGCAACAUCCUGCACAAGCCGGACCUAACCGGAAGAAUGCUUCAAUGGGCCAUAGAGUUGAGUGAAUAUGGAAUCGAGUUCCAACCCAGGUUGUCCAUGAAAGGCCAAGUGAUGGCUGACUUCAUGCUGGAAUACUCCCGAAGAUCUACCUAGCGCAAGGAACCAAGCGGAGAGGAGUGGUGGACUUUGUAGGUUGAUGGAGCCUUGUUGGGCUUUGUGGAGCCUAGUUUUGUUUGAUCUGGUUUGACGACCCGACCCGAAUAAUAUUGCAUGGCUUUUUUAAUGGGAGAUUUAUUGAGGCCUGUUGGGCCCGUUUAGCCCAUUGUGGAACCAGCUUUUGUAAUUAGGGUUUUUUAGUAUGGUAGGGUUGUCGUGCUAUAUAUAUAUAGAGAAUAUUGUAGCCGCUCAGUUGUACUCUGUAUUCUUCCCUGAUAAUAGUGAUAUCCCUGCAACUCCGUGAACGUAGGCAAAUUGCCGAACCACGUAAAUACUGUCUUGUGCGUGAGAUUGUUUUUCUUUGGCGUGUGUUUUCUCUAAUUUUUGUUUCUCACGGGUUGGGAAUUCGGUUUAAUUCCCUACAACUGGUAUCAGAGCCUAGGGUUAGGUUUGAGUGGGAGCAAUGGUAGAGGAAGCAGGAAAGGCGUCUGGAAUAGAAAAGUUUGAUGGCACAGACUUUGCGUAUUGGAGGAUGCAGAUUGAAGAUUAUCUCUAUGGGAGGAAAUUGCAUCUGCCUCUUUUAGGGACAAAACCUGAGAGUAUGAAGGCUGAGGAAUGGGCGCUUCUUGACAGACAGGUUCUAGGAGUUAUUAGGUUAACUCUGUCUAGGUCUGUUGCACACAAUGUUGUAAAGGAGAAGACCACAGCAGAUUUGAUGAAGGCUUUGUCCGGUAUGUAUGAAAAGCCAUCCGCAAACAAUAAGGUGCAUCUGAUGAAGAAAUUGUUCAAUUUGAAGAUGGCAGAGAAUGCAUCAGUAGCACAACAUCUGAAUGAAUGUAAUACAAUCACAAAUCAAUUGUCGUCUGUAGAAAUUGAUUUUGAUGAUGAGAUUCGUGCUCUGAUUGUCUUGGCUUCUUUGCCAAACAGUUGGGAGGCAAUGAGGAUGGCAGUAAGCAAUUCUACAGGAAAGGAAAAGCUCAAGUACAAUGAUAUACGAGAUUUAAUUCUGGCUGAGGAGAUUCGCCGAAGAGAUGCAGGUGAAACCUCAGGAUCUGGUUCUGCCCUAAACCUUGAGACAAGAGGCAGAGGUAAUAACAGAAAUUCAAAUCAGGGUAGAUCAAAUUCCAGAAAUUCUAAUCGGAACAGAAGCAAAUCUAGAUCAGGCCAACAAGUACAAUGUUGGAAUUGUGGGAAAACAGGUCACUUUAAAAGGCAAUGCAAAAGCCCUAAGAAGAAGAAUGAAGAUGAUUCUGCUAAUGCUGUAACAGAAGAGGUACAGGAUGCAUUACUUCUUGCAGUAGACAGUCCACUUGAUGAUUGGGUUUUGGAUUCAGGAGCUUCGUUUCAUACCACUCCACACCGAGAAAUCAUACAGAAUUAUGUUGCAGGUGAUUUUGGUAAGGUAUAUUUGGCUGAUGGUUCAGCCUUGGAUGUUGUGGGUCUGGGAGACGUCCGGAUAUCAUUGCCCAAUGGGUCUGUUUGGUUACUGGAGAAGGUUCGACAUAUUCCUGACCUGAAGAGGAAUCUGAUUUCUGUUGGACAACUUGAUGAUGAAGGACAUGCAAUACUAUUUGUUGGUGGUACUUGGAAGGUUACAAAGGGAGCUAGGGUAUUGGCUCAUGGAAAGAAGACUGGCACUCUGUAUAUGACCUCAUGUCCAAGAGACACAAUUGCAGUUGCUGAUGCAAGUACUGAUACAAGCCUAUGGCACCGCAGACUUGGUCACAUGAGUGAGAAAGGAAUGAAGAUGUUGCUGUCAAAAGGAAAACUACCAGAAUUGAAGUCCAUUGAUUUUGACAUGUGUGAAAGUUGCAUCUUAGGAAAGCAAAAAAAGGUGAGCUUCUUGAAAACUGGCAGGACACCGAAGGCUGAAAAAUUGGAACUAGUACACACUGAUUUGUGGGGGCCUUCUCCGGUUGCAUCCCUAGGAGGUUCAAGGUACUACAUCACCUUUAUUGAUGACUCAAGUAGAAAGGUAUGGGUUUAUUUUCUGAAAAAUAAAUCUGAUGUAUUUGUAACUUUUAAGAAGUGGAAGGUCAUGGUUGAGACAGAAACAGGUUUGAAAGUAAAAUGUUUGAGGUCAGAUAAUGGAGGAGAGUACAUAGAUGGAGGAUUCAGUGAGUAUUGUGCUGCACAGGGAAUUAGGAUGGAGAAGACCAUUCCUGGGACACCACAGCAGAAUGGUGUGGCUGAGCGCAUGAAUAGAACUCUCAAUGAGUGUGCUAGAAGUAUGAGGUUGCAUGCUGGACUACCAAAAACUUUUUGGGCUGAUGCUGUUAGCACUGCAGCUUACCUGAUAAACCGAGGACCAUCAGUUCCCAUGGAGUUCAGACUUCCUGAGGAGGUUUGGAGCGGUAAAGAGGUGAAGUUUUCACAUUUAAAAGUUUUUGGUUGUGUUUCUUAUGUUCAUAUUGAUUCUGAUGCUCGUAGUAAACUUGAUGCAAAGUCAAAAAUAUGUUUUUUCAUUGGCUAUGGUGAUGAGAAAUUUGGCUAUAGGUUUUGGGAUGAACAAAACAGGAAAAUCAUCAGAAGUAGAAAUGUGAUAUUUAAUGAACAGGUUAUGUACAAGGAUAGGUCAACUGUAACGUCAGAUGUUACAGAGAUAGAUCAAAAGAAAUCUGAGUUUGUCAACUUAGAUGAAUUGACUGAAAGUACUGUCCAAAAAGGGGGUGAAGAAGAUAAGGAGAAUGUAAAUUCACAGGUAGAUCUGAGUACACCUAUAGUUGAAGUUCGCAGAUCUUCUAGGAACACUAGACCUCCGCAGCGUUAUUCACCUGUUUUAAAUUAUCUCCUGUUGACUGAUGGUGGUGAGCCAGAGUGUUAUGAUGAAGCCUUGCAAGAUGAGAAUUCAAGCAAGUGGGAGUUAGCCAUGAAGGAUGAGAUGGAUUCCCUGUUGGGGAAUCAGACAUGGCAACUGACUGAAUUGCCAGUAGGAAAGAAGGCUUUGCACAACAAGUGGGUAUACAGAAUAAAGAAUGAGCAUGAUGGUAGCAAACGUUACAAGGCCAGAUUAGUUGUUAAAGGGUUCCAGCAGAAGGAGGGCAUUGACUACACAGAGAUAUUUUCUCCAGUUGUGAAGAUGUCAACAAUUAGACUUGUACUUGGAAUGGUGGCCGCAGAAAACUUACAUCUUGAGCAGUUAGAUGUGAAGACAGCAUUCCUUCAUGGUGACUUGGAGGAAGACCUUUACAUGAUUCAGCCAGAAGGGUUCAUUGUUCAGGGACAAGAGAAUCUAGUCUGCAAACUGAGAAAGAGCUUGUAUGGCCUUAAACAAGCUCCUAGACAGUGGUACAAGAAGUUUGACAAUUUUAUGCAUAGAAUUGGGUUCAAGAGAUGUGAAUCUGAUCAUUGUUGCUAUGUUAAGUCCUUUGACAACUCUUACAUCAUAUUACUGUUGUAUGUGGAUGAUAUGCUUAUUGUAGGGUCUGACAUUGAGAAGAUUAAUAAUCUGAAGAAGCAAUUGUCCAAACAGUUUGCAAUGAAGGAUUUGGGAGCUGCAAAGCAAAUCCUUGGUAUGAGAAUCAUUAGAGAUAAGGCUAAUGGUACAUUGAAGCUUUCACAGUCAGAGUAUGUGAAGAAAGUUCUCAGCAGGUUCAACAUGAAUGAAGCUAAACCAGUGAGCACACCCUUGGGUAGUCAUUUCAAACUAAGCAAAGAACAGUCACCAAAGACAGAAGAAGAAAGGGACCAUAUGAGCAAGGUGCCCUAUGCCUCAGCUAUUGGCAGCUUGAUGUAUGCUAUGGUGUGUACAAGACCAGACAUUGCACAUGCAGUGGGAGUUGUGAGCAGAUUCAUGAGUAGGCCAGGAAAGCAGCAUUGGGAGGCAGUCAAGUGGAUUUUAAGAUAUCUGAAGGGUUCAUUAGAUACAUGUCUUUGCUUCACAGGUGCAAGUUUGAAACUGCAGGGUUAUGUAGAUGCUAAUUUUGCUGGUAAUAUUGAUAGUAGAAAGAGUACUACUGGGUUUGUUUUUACUCUAGGUGGUACAGCUAUAUCAUGGACUUCAAAUCUACAGAAGAUUGUUACUUUGUCUACUACAGAAGCUGAGUAUGUUGCAGCAACUGAAGCUGGAAAGGAGAUGAUUUGGCUACAUGGUUUCUUAGAUGAAUUGGGUAAGAAGCAGGAGAUGGGCAUUCUACACAGUGACAGUCAGAGUGCAAUUUUUCUUGCCAAAAAUUCGGCUUUUCAUUCAAAGUCGAAACAUAUACAAACAAAAUACCACUUUAUCCGUUAUCUUGUUGAGGAUAAACUGGUAAUACUUGAGAAGAUUUGUGGAUCUAAGAACCCUGCAGACAUGUUGACUAAGGGUGUCACUAUUGAGAAGUUGAAGCUGUGCGCAGCUUCAAUUGGUCUUCUAGCUUGAGGACAGGAGGAUGAGUUGUAGGGAUGAGGGAUCGUUUCUUGGAGGAUAGCGGUUUGAUGUUGGUGAUUGGACUAGUCUCCAAGUGGGAGAUUUGUUGGGCUUUGUGGAGCCUAGUUUUGUUUGAUCUGGUUUGACGACCCGACCCGAAUAAUAUUGCAUGGCUUUUUUAAUGGGAGAUUUAUUGAGGCCUGUUGGGCCCGUUUAGCCCAUUGUGGAACCAGCUUUUGUAAUUAGGGUUUUUUAGUAUGGUAGGGUUGCCGUGCUAUAUAUAUAUAUAGAGAAUAUUGUAGCCGCUCAGUUGUACUCUGUAUUCUUCCCUGAUAAUAGUGAUAUCCCUGCAACUCCGUGGACGUAGGCAAAUUGCCGAACCACGUAAAUACUGUCUUGUGCGUGAGAUUGUUUUUCUUUGGCGUGUGUUUUCUCUAAUUUUUGUUUCUCACGGGUUGGGAAUUCGGUUUAAUUCCCUACAAGCCUCCUGGUCAUCAGGAUCCGGGGUAGGACUCCUGCUGCAAUCCCCAACAAGAGAACAUCUGGAGCAAGCUAUCCGACUGGGGUUCCCUGUGUCUAAUAAUGAAGCUGAGUAUGAGGUCAUCCUAUCUGGGUUGGAUCUCGCCCUAGCUCUAUCCGUCUCCAGGCUCUGGGUCUAUAAUGAUUCCCAAUUCGUGGUAAGGCACGUCCAGAAGGAAUACGAAGCUAAGGAUGAGCGCAUGGCACGAUAUCUGACUAAAGUAAGGGACACCUUACAACCGUUCACUGAAUGAACGAUCAAAAAAAUUAAACGAACUGAAAAUGGACGUGCCGACGCCCUGGCAGGCAUAGUCGCUUCCCUCCCCAUCAAAGAAGUCAUACUAUUGCCUGUAUAUGUGCAAACCAACCCCUCUAUCACGGAAACCUCCACUUGCAAUACCAUUGAGGCAAACUAAGCAGAUGGCCAAGAGUGGGCGGGGGAUAUUAUAAGGUAUCUCUGGAUGGGCACUUUGCCCGAAGAGCCCAAGCAAGCACACAAGACCCGGGUAGAAGCCGCUCGUUUCACCCUGAUCGGGGGGCACUUAUACAAGCGGUCCUUUACAAACCCCUACCUAUGGUGCCUAAACCACUCAAAGGCCCUGUAUGUCUUGGCUGAAUUACAUGAGGAGGUGUGUGGAAACCAUUCCGGAGGUCAAUCUCUAGCGCACCGGGCCCAUUCGCAAAGGUAUUACUAGCCCACAAUGAAAAAUGAUGCGGCAGCCUAUGUCAAAAAAUGUGACAAGUGUCAAAGGCAUGUCCUCAUACCACAUGUGCCGUCGGAGACGUUAAAACCAAUUUCAUGCCCCUGGCCCUUCGCGCAGUGGGACAUGGACAUAGUAGGACCCUUACCAGCCGCAGCUGCCCAGAAAAAUUUCCUACUCGUCGCCACGGAUUACUUUAGUAAAUGGGUGGAAGCUGAAGCAUACGCUAGCAUCAAAGACAAAGAUGUCACCAAGUUCGUAUGGAAGAACAUCAUCUGCCGCUUUGGAAUCCCCCAAACCAUUAUAGCUGACAACGGUCCACAGUUUGAUAGCAUCACUUUCUGAAAUUUCUGUUCGGAACUAAACAUCCGGAAUUCAUACUCCACACCGCGUUAUCCUCAAAGCAAUGGGCAAGCAAAAGCCACAAACAAGACCCUAAUAACUGCCUUAAAGAAGAGGCUCGAGCAAGCCAAAGGGAAGUGGGUGGAGGAGCUACCCGGCGUCCUGUGGGCUUAUCGAACCACACCAGGACGACCGACAAGAAAUACUCUCUUCACCCUCGCAUAUGGUAUGGACGCAAUCAUUCCUACAUAAAUAGGGCUACCCACUAUCCGGACCGAGGCAGACGAAGAAAUUUGGACUGGGCAGACGAAGUAAGAGAGACCGCAUCUAUCCAGAUGGCCGACUAUCAACAAAAGGCAGCCGCUCACUACAACCGCAAGGCAAAGCCUAGGAGCUUCAAAAGUGGAACGUUGGUCCUUAGGAAGGUUUUCGAAAACACUGCUGAGACAGGAGCAGGAAAGUUUCAAGCCAAUUGGGAAGACCCCUAUAUAGUGUCCAAGACAAGUGAAAAUGGAUCCUAUCAUCUACAGAAGCUAGACGAAACCCCAUUGCUCCGACCAUGGAAUGUAUCCAAUCUUAAGCAAUAUUAUCAAUGAAAGCAGAUGAAGAAUAAGCAAGAAAGACAAAUUGUCUUUACAAAAAGCCGCCUUAUACGCAGCAAAACAGAAAAAAAAAGGUGUAAAGUCUGCACAAAGAAGAAAUCUCAGUUGGACGGGCCCCUGGGCGUCUCGUCAUCCUCAUUAGAAGGAAAUGAGGGAGUAUCAUGCAUGAUUUCGUUUUUCUUCAUACAGCAGCGGUAACCAAAGAAGUACAUUUCAUCCGCCUGCUGCUAGUAUUCCUCCUCCAGCUCCUUAUUCUGUGCGGCGAAGCUAGCCUCCAUCUCCUUCUUUUGAGCCGCCAUACCCGCCCGCAAAUCCUCUGACUCCUUCUUCUAGGCGGCGAGGCUAGCUCGGAGUUCUUCCAUCUCUCUUUUUAAUUGAAGGUUUUCCUGCCCAGCUUCAUUGACUUGGCCCUCCAAGGCUUUUUUUUUUUUUCUUAGACUAUCAGCUUCAGCCCGGAUAGCCUCCCUUUCCCCCUCCACCCGGCAUAGCCGCUCCGCCCCAUCCGAUACCGCUUCCUGCGCAGAAGCCAGCUCGGCUUCAAUCUUCUCCAACUGGGCGCGCAACUUAUCAACGCCACCCGGAGGCUGGGAGAUAAAGGCAUGCAUGGCCUCCUCCACCUUCAGUCGCUCGAAAAGCUGCUCGUGCAAACGCAUCAUGUAGCGGAUGUCGGACAUAACCUGGGUAAAACAACAACAAAACAGUAGACAAAAUUACAUGAAAAAGUAGUAACUGUUAAAAAAACAAGAGAAAAACAGCAAAAAAGUAUUUACCACUUCUGCGGCCUCUGGCAUCGUCCAUUCCUGUAGGUGUUAUACGGAAGGCACAGCGGACUUAGAAAUACCAAGAGGAUGUCGCGCUUCUGUGUCUGUGAAGCAUGGCACCCCCUUCAGCAUAUCCAUCAGUUCCUCCCAGCUUGGAGGAACUGCUGUAGGAUAACUGCUCCUCUCGACUUGAGCCUUCUCACCGUUCGGUGCCUCCGGAGCCCCCUCUAGCAUAAGGAUCCCCACCACAACAGGGGAGCUACGCCCCGGACCAUCGGCAUGAACCAUAGCCGCUGUGCUGGACCCUACGGCAUCUAGAGGAACUGGGGCACUCGCGCUCGCACCAUCCCUAUCCGGACGACUCGUAGCUGGAGCCGGAACCUCGGGCGUUGAAGCCUCCCCACCCUGAUCCAAACAAACUUUCUUAGCUGGGGGAGGCCCGAGGUCGAUGGGGACAUGCAACCUUUUGCCAUGUCUUUGCAUCAACCUCUCCCUAAUCUCGCUUGGGCUCCUCAUCUCCUCUGGCUUGUCCGCGACUGGCAAACCAACAGAUUCCAGCUUAGGCUGGGGAGAGCUAGGGCCCGGGUGGAAGACUACAAGCUGGAGGAAACUAGAAGUAGCCUCAGGUUCCUCGGCCUCGUCAGAUUCUAGGAUAGUAUGGUCCGGACAGCUGGGUUCGGACCUACAAGACGAAGACGAAGCCUCAAGAUUGGGGGCUGUAAUCCAAAGUACCUGCGAAAGUGUCUUCUUCGUCUUCUGUUUUUUCUUCUUUUCCUUUCUGGCCGGGGGACGAGCCACUAGAGGAGAGUCGCGUCCCUUCUCACCAGGUGUUUUCCUCAGCGUCCCCUCCUGCCUCUUUUCCUUUCGCUCGUCAAGGAGCUUCUGGCGCGCCUUUGCGUCAGGCUUGCGGGCCCUCUCAUAGAAGGGCAAAUCCUUCAAUAUAAAGUGUUCCCCAGGCACUACCUGUUUUGGAAACCGCCUAGGGAGAAUGUUGGUUACGUACGCUUGGGGCUCCCGAACAAUGGCCAGCAAGUUUCGUGCAGUAAGCAGCGUCUGAUGAUGCCUCUUAACUGCAGUAAUCUCGAAUAACUUGUUCAAUCGGUCGAAGGACGCUUCGACUACGCGACCCCUCUUGUUCAUACCUGCAUUAUUAGCAACCAAAGAUGUUAGCCAUCUAAUAACCCCAAAAUAAGAAGAACAACAGACGAACGCCGAACAAACCCCACAAGCUGCCCUACCCGGAAGCACCAGCAAACUGUUUGGGGAAAACGGUCUCUCCGGAUGCUCCAAUAGCCCAGCCCAGACACCCGGACUAAUACACACCCCUUGGCUCCCCCCUUCGUUGAAUCCGGAAGAUGAGUCACCAAUUGGAGGGAAGGCAUGUAGGCAGCCAGGCUGAAGAGGUCAGUUCCCCCCUUCUUUAUGGAGUAUAUGAAAAGGACCUCCAAUAGUGAAAAGUCCAGGUUGAACAGCAUGCUCAGAAUGCUGCACCCCAUCAGCACCCGGACUAUGUUGGGAUGGAUGUAAGUCGGGGGGAUCUGGGUGGAGUGAAGAAAUUCUUUGAACAAGGAAGGGAGGGGAAACCGGAGCCCAACAUUGAAUUGCUCCUUGGUGAAGUAGAUAGCGUUGUCUGCAGAUUUCUCAGUGGAUACCGCCUCUCCAUCCACAAGCUGAAUGGACACACCAUUCGGAAUGCAGAAGCGCUCACAGAAUUGCCUCACAUUCAGCUUGUCAACAGAUUUUUUCGCAUAGACCACUCCGGACGCGUCUUUGUCGCUCUGUCCGACCGCGCUAGACGAAGCAACGUCCUUUUUCGCAGACAUUUUUAAGAGUGGGGCCAAAACGGAACCUACAUGGUAGUAUGCCAACAGUAAAAAACAAAGACCCGGCCCCACAACCCUAACGGCAAAAACGCCCAGAAAACCUAACAUAGUCAGCAUCCCCAUCCUAAACCCUGGCUCUACCCCAAAGCAGGAUUGAUAACCCGCAAAAGGUGCAGAAGGGCAACAGAAACCCUAACGCACCCAAAACGAACCAAAACCCCCUGGAAAAGCCCUAAACACCCAUACUGACCCCCAAUCGCAAAUAGCUUGCCCAACAAGCCAGAAACAGCUACAAAACAAACAUAACGAGGAGAAGGUAGGAAUAGAGAACUUACCUCGCGUGAACUGGUAAAACGGAGAUGAAGUCCACGAUGCAAUCACCCUCACGACACGAAUGUUGCUAGCAGAAGCCCUAGAACUUCACUUGCAGAUGAAGAUACGCAGGAGGCCGAAGAAAAACACUACCAGCAGAAAAUGCAGAAAGAAAAAACGCAGGAGUAGGGAGCUCGGUCUGCUAUUUAUAGAGAGACAGCCCCUCGGUAUCCCAAAUGCCCAGCCGCACCGUUAUUGAAAAGACACGCUGCCUGGGAAUUCCCAGGGACAGCGGCUCGUCAUAAAUGCCCUUCUUCCUUUUCGCCUCCGCGCACCACGUGACCCAAUGAGCACAAAAAGUAACCUAAGUUUCAAAAACAAUCAUUUUUAACCCGCCUAUUCUGCCAGGGCAAAAUCGGCAAGUUAAAAGGGGGGGCAUUGUAAGGACCCCUCCCCCUGAUGACACAUGGCGCGCAUCGCUAUCCGGAGCAACUCCAUCCGGACUCCCCAAGAGGACACGUGGCACGCUCCCCUAUCCGGACUCCCCAGGGGAGGCACACGACACUCUCAAACAUCAUGUCAAGACGAUAGCAUAUUCUAUCUGAAUAUGCUGUCUGGAUCAUUGACUGAAGUAAGCAAGCCUUGAUGAGUCAUCCCCGACAGCCUGCCACAGCCCACGUUCCGCCGCCUGUUGAGCGAAAGGAUAGGAGCGAUGGCAAUUCGCCUCCCACGAUCUCUGACAGCCGCCUGCAAAGUGAUGAUGGCUCUGCCACCACCUUGAGGGCAUCAUGACGAGCCAAAAAGUCUUCCCACCAUUAAAGAGAGAGGCAGAGCUUCUGACACUAUAUAAAAGGACCUUCACACAAGGAAGAAGGUAAGCUUACUAUCCCUGAAAAAGGCCGACAGCUUAAUCUCUUGAGCCAUGGCUAACAAAACCAUCGGAGGGUGUGUCCGGACAUCCUGUCUGGACAUCUUUUGUAGGGAAGAUUGAACCAGAACUCAAUCUUGGUUGAAAGCGUGCAUCCACUUGGCAGCUACGUGGAUCAUUGGGACGCAAGGCAUCAACAUUAAGGAUUUAUUUUGUUAAUGCAUACAAAUUUGCAUCAGUGUCCUUUAUCUUUUGCAAGCAUCCUAAGCUUUGGGUUAUUUUACAGAUUUAGGGGCACUUGUUGAAUGUAAUAUCAUCAUCCAAUCUGAUCCAUAGUUCCAUAUCUCAAAUAAUUAUGGGUCAGGGGAUUUAGCUGAAAGUACAUCAUUUAUAAAGCAUGGAGUGGAUCCUCUAUAAAGAACUAUAGAAAAAAAAUUAUUGUUUCCUUGCAAUAUUUGAUUUAGCUAGCAUUUACUCAAUUGGAAUAUAUAUAUUUUUUUAUAGGUAAACGCACAGAAAAUUUUAUAUAUAAAAAGAGAAAAUGGCACCUAAAGGCCAACCCAAAGCAUACAAGGAGUAUACAAGAAGUGCCUAAAGACAAUAACAAAAAAGAAAAGGGGAUACAAAAAAUCUCACCAGCUCUCAUCUAGAAACCAACAAAUCAAAAAAGUUGUUUAAAGGUAAAUGUCCUUCAUCUAUAAAUGACUUAGUCCAAGGCAAAAAAUUACAUACAAAAGAAUUUUUCAUCAUUUGAAUCGAAAACUCCUCAUUUUCAAAAGCAAUCUUGUUUCAUUCCUUCCAAACCGACCAAAAGAGACAAAAUGGAGGCUUCAUCCAAACAUUUCUAAGCUUCUUGCCCAUAAAGGAACCAUGCCAACCAAGAAGGGUAUCUUUAAAAUAAAAUAAAAAAUUCUUAUUGUGUUUUUUAAUUUGUUUCAAAAUUAUCCUCAAAAGUUUCUAUGGCAAGUACACCUACCACUUUUUUUUUUCUUUCUCUAUUAUAUCAACUCUCUCACACCUUCGAUUCAAGCCAUGUUCCCAUUAUUUUCCUUCUUUUUUUUUUUCUUUUCCUCUCACCAUCAUAUCCAUUGUCCCCUAUCAUAUUUCUUAUUGUUAUUUUUCUCUCUUUCCUUUGACAUUUCUUUUAAUAUGCUCAUGUAUUCUCUCAUAAAACCUCUUUAAUUUCAAUUUUUUUUCACCUCUAAUUUCUCCAUACCUAUUGAUUUUAAUUUUUAAACACAUUAAACUUAAAAUGAUAACAUAUAAUAAAUAAUUAAAUAAAAACAUAAAUAUAUAUUGAACAAAAAUGAAAAUAUUAUCUCAUGAAUAAUAUACUUGAUAAUUUUAAAUAUUAAUUAUAGUAACACGUUUGAUAAUUUAAGGUUUAAAUUUAAAAAUUAUAUUUUAUUAUUUAGAUGUUUAUGAUAUAAGAUAUUUUAUAUUAACGAUAAAUAAAAUAUUUAUUUAUUUUGUAAAUCUUAUCACAUGGGAAAGUAAAAAUAUCUUUGUAUUAUUAUUAUUAUUUUUAUUUUUGUUUUUUGUUUUGUGUUAAAUUUUUUAUAUCAAAAUCAAAAUAAGUGAUGGUGUUUUUAUCCUUUUUGUUAUGGUUUUUAACUUGAUCAUAGUUUUAACUUUUUGCUUGAUUAAAAUCUUUAAAUUUUUAUUAACAUAAAAUAUAAAAGAAAAUAUAUUUUUUCAUUAAAAAAAAUUAUUUUAUAUUAAUUUUUCUUAUAUUUGUUAAAGUGCGUACAUCAUUUAGAAAAAUAUAUAUAAUCCUUAAUAGCGCCUAACGGAGCUCUAGUUGAAAAUUUAAAAAAAUAUAUGUAUUUUUGUGAAGAAUGUACAUAUAUAUAUUUUUUUAGAAUGUAUGUAUUUUUCUUAAAGAUGUACAUGAGAUUCCAAAUCAAAUUCUGAGUGCAUGGAGACCUCAAAUUGAUUCCCAAGGUUCCCCAAAUGAAUAUUUAGACCCAAAUGGGGUUAACAGGGUCUUAGUUGGCUUCCAAAAAAACAUAUAUAUUUUUGUGAGGAAUACACAUUUUCAUAAGGAUGUACAUGGGGUUUCAAAUCGUAUUUCGAGGUGGGGAAAUUACUCAAAUCCAUUCCCAAGGUUUCUCAAAUGAAUAUUUAGACCCAAAUAGGGUUUAAUAGGAUCUUGAUUGGCCUCCAAAAAAAUGUAUGUAGUUUUGUGAAGAAUGUACAUAUUUUUCUUAAGGAUAAUGUACGUAGAGUGGCAAAUCACAUUUCGAAGUGGGCAAAGGCCUCAAAUCCAUUCUCAAGGUUCCCCAAAUGAAUAUUUAAACCCAAAGAGGGCCUAAUGGGGUCUCGGUUGGCCUCCAAAAAAAUGUAUGUAUUUUUGUGAAUAAUAUACGUACUUUUCUUAAGCAUGUACGUGGAGUUCCAAAUUGCAUUUCAGGGUGGGGGAAGUCCGAUAUAUGACCUUUAUAUUCCUUUGGGACCCUCAAGAAGUCAUUUAAGCAUUCCCCCACCCAAAAAAGGAUUUUGGAACCUCAUGUAUAUCCUUAAGAAAAAUAAAUACAUUAUUCACAAAAAUACAUACAUUUUUUUCAUAGGGAACCAAGACUCCAAUCACGCUUAUUAUGACCUAUAUAGUCCUUUGGGGACCCUUAAGAAGUGAUUUGAAGCAUUCCCUCACCUUAAAAUGGACUUUGGAACCCCACAUACAUCCUUAAGAAAAAUAAGUGUAUUCUUCAUAAAAAUACACGCAUUUUUUCCAAGGAAAAUCGAAACCUCAAUCACCCUUGUUAUGACCAUGUUCCUUUGGGGACCCUCUGAUUGGAGCCAAAAUAUGUGCUCUAAUGGUACAUAUUCGAUAUGAUUUGUACACCAAAAGACAUCCAAAUCACCCAAAUUGACCUAAAUCAAUGCAAGGCCCUAGCCAUGAGUUUAAUCUAUACUUUGGAGAUUUAUCUCAGGUUCAAGGGAAGAAAAUUGUGCAAAUUGAAUGACUUUAAAUUUUGAAAGAUCAAGAAAGGGCUAAAUGAGGAAAUAAGUGAGUCAAGAUUCAUCAAAUGCAAGGAAAGGCAAAACAAGGAUAUCAUGAGGUUGGAGGAUGAUAAAUGACCAUUAUGGAGUAAGAAAGAAGGCAAGAAAGAAUGGGAAAUGAGGCAUGAAGCAAGAUUUAGUUGCAUGGAAAUUUAGAACUCAAAAAUCUGAUGGCAUUAUAUACUUUGACUUUGAGGACAAAUUUGGAGCACUUUCUGGAGUCCAUUAUAUACAUACUAUAUAUCAUUUCGAAGCUCGAGAAGUCAGGAGUCCAAAACUUCAAACGGUUUGCAAAUCGGAGCUGAAAUGAAGAAAUUAUGGCCAUUUGAAGACAACUGCACCAAGCUGGAGGGUCAUUUCGAAAUGAUUUCGAAAUUCAACUUAUGAUUUCGAAAUUCAACUUAUGAAUUCGAAAUCCACUUCGAAAUGACACCAAUUUCAAAUUCACUCACUGCCACUUUGAUGUUCCGCCUCCUCUACCUCGGGAAUUGCAUCUAAAGCACUCCAUCCGCCCUAGGUGGACCCCACAAGACUAGAAAUCACAAUUUUAUUAUUUUUUAAUCAUUUUUAGGAAAUUAUUUUGUAAUAAGUGGCCAAUGAGAGUGUGCCACAUGUUAGGUAAUUGAGGAUAUUAUAUAAACUCUCUCAAUUCUAGGUUUUAGGAAUCUGGGAUCUUGGAUUUUUUUUUCUGGAGUUUUUGACAUUGAAGGAGGAAGAAGACGAGAACUUUGGUUUGUUUUCUUUUUCUUCUUUAUUGAAUACAUUGUUUUUAGUUUCUUUUGAUUCAAAUUAUGGAUUUUUACCCUACUAUGGAUUGUGAAUGUGACAUCACCCCCAUGAGAGGCUAAGAUCCAACUUGGGGCUUGAAGCAUGAAAACUUAAGGGCUAGGAAACCUAUAGGGACAAUGGGUGAAUUAUUAUAACAAUGAGAUUAAUUAUUGGUUGAGUGACAAUUUAUCAAUUUUUUUAUCCUAUCCUUGUGAGUUCGUUUAGGGAAUGAUACGAUAGGUUAUUACUUGAUACUAGUAAUUCUUGGUAAUUCUUGAUCAUUAGUUAUCCUCAUCUUACCUACCGUUAUUUGCCCCUAAACAAAGCUAUAAGGAGUAGGAAUAGUUAAAAAGCCAAAUCUUAAAUUAAUAAUCAAUCUCAUUCAUUUGAUGGUUUUAGGAAUCUGUUUUAAAGGAAAAAUUAGGUUUCGGAUGCAAUUUUGAGUUAUAGAACUCAACUUGAUCGCGAGUGGCCAAGGAUUCCAAAACCCUAAGAUCAUAUUACUUAAAAUACCCUUGUUUUCUAUAAUUUCUAUACCCUAGGUUGGAUUGUGGAAAACCCCAAACUUGAAUCAAUUGAAUUUAAAAUCAAUAUUCAUUUUCUCUUAUUAAUUUAAUUUCUUUUACUUAGUUUCACAUUAUUCACAUAUUGUUUUUCACUUAAGGAUUUAAACAAAAACAAUUCAUUUAUUCUAGUAUUGACAAUUUUCAUAAGCCAGUCCUUGAGAACGAUACCCGGAAUACUACAAAAGUUGUAGUGACUCUUUCUCUAGUUUUUCUUGACCAGAGUUACUACGUAAAAAGGCUAAGUAUUUUGGUAUAAUAGAGAAAUUUCGGUCACCCUCAGAAAGUGAUUUGAGGCAUUUCUUCAUCCCGAAAUGAACUUUGAAACCCCACAUACAUUCUUAAGAAAAAUAAGAAUAUUCUUACGAAAAAUAAGUAUAUUCUUCAUAAAAAUACAUAAAUUUUUUCCAAGGGGUACUAGGACUCCAAUCACGCUUAUUUGACCUAGAUAUUCUUUUAAGGACCCUCAGGAAGUGAUUUGAAGUGUUCUUCCACCCUGAAAUAGACUUUGGAACCUCAUGUAUAUUCUUAAGAAAAAUAAGUAUAAUCUUCACAAAAAUAGGUACAUUUUUUUCAAGGAAAACCGAGACCUCAAUCACCCUUAUUAUGACCUAUAUAUUCCUUUAGGGACCCUUGAGAAGGUAUUCCCCUGCCAUAAAAAGGACUUUGGAACCAUACGUACAUCCUCAAGAAAAAUAAGUACAUUUUUCACCAAAAAAAAAUAUGUACACUUUUUCCAAGGGUGACUAAGACCUCAAUUGCCCUUAUUAUGACCUUAUAUUCCUUUGGGAACCCUAGGGAAGUGGUUUGAGGCAUUCCCCUAACUCGAAAUAGACUUUCAAAUCCCACGUACAUUCUUAGGAAAAAUAAGUACGUUCUUAAGAAAAAUAUGUACAUUCUUUUCAAGGGGAACCUAUAUCACAUUUACCCUUAUUUUGACCUAUAUAUUUCUUUAGGGACCCUCAAUAAGUGAUUUGAGGCUUUCCCUUACCUUGAAAUAGACUUUGAAAUGUCACGUAUAUCCUUAAGAAAAAUAAGGACAUUCGUUACAAAAAUUCGUAUAUUUUUCCCAAUGGGAACAAGGACCCCAAUGACCCUCAUGAAGUAAUUUCAGGCGUUCCCCCACUUUGAAAAGGACUUUGGAACCAGAUGUACAUCCUUAAGAAAAAUAAGUACAUUUUUUGCAAAAAUAUAUACAUUUUUUCCAAGGGGAAUCAGGAAUCUUUUCACCUUUAUUAUGACCUAUAUAUUCCUUUGGAGACCCUUGGGAAGUGAUUUGAGAUGUUUUCUCACUUCGAAAUGAACUUUGGAACACUACGUGCAUCUUUAAGAAAAAUAAAUACAUCCUUAAUGAAAAUAAAUAUAUUCUUUAGAAAAAUAAGUACAUUCUUGCCAAGGGGAACCUAAAUCCCAAUAACCUUAUUAUGACUUAUAUAUUCCUUUGGAGACUCUCAAGAAGUGAUUUGAGGCAUUCCCUCACCUCGAAAUGGACUUUGAAACCUCACAUAUAUAUAUCCUUAAGAAAAAUAAGCACAUUCUUAUUAAAAAUAAAUACAUUCCUCACAAAAAAAAAAAAUGCGUACAUUUUCUUCAAUGGGAACUGGGACCCGUAUCACCCUUAUUAUGACCUAUAUAUUUCUUCAAGGAUCUUCAAGAAGUGAUUUGAAACAUUCCCCCUACCUGAAAUAGACUUUGGAACCUCAUAUACAUUCUUAAGAAAAAUAAGUAUACCCUUAAGAAAAAUAAGUAUAUUCUUUCCAAGAGAAACCCAAACCCUAAUCACCCUUAUUAUGAUUUAUAUAUUUCUUUGGGGACUCUUAAGAAGUGAUUUAAGGCGUUCCCCCAGUUCAAAAUGGACUUUGGAACCCCACAUACAUUCUUUAGAAAAAUAAGUACAUUUUUUACAAAAAUACAUACAUUUUUUCUAAGGGGAACCAGGACUUCAAGCACGCUUAUUAUAAUUUAUAUAUUCCUUUGGAGACCUUUACAAAGUGAUUUGAAGCAUUCCCCCACCUUGAAAUGGGAUCCUUAAGAAAAAUAAGUAUAUUCUUCAUAAUAAUAAGUACAUUUUUUUUCCAAAGGGAACCAAGAAUUCUAUCACCCUUAUUAUGAUCUAUAUAUUCUUUUAAGGACCCUUGGGAAGUGAUUUGAGGCUUUCUUUCACCCCGAAAUGAACUUUAGAACCCUACGUACAUCCUUAAAAAAAAUAAGUACAAUCUUUAAAAAUAAAAAUAAAUACAUUAUUUUCAAGGAGAACCAAAUCUUUAUUAUGACUUAUAAAUUCCUUUGAGGACCCUUGAGAAGUGAUUCGAGGCAUCCUCUCACCCUGAAAUGGACUUUGGAACCUCACAUACAUCUUUAAGAAAAAUAAGAAAAAUUAAUAUAAUUACAUCUUUAAGAAAAAUAAGUAUAUUAUUAAGAAAUUGACUUUGGAACCUUAUAUACAUUCUUAAAAAAUAUAAGUACAGCCUUAAGAAAAAUAAGUACAUUCAUUAUAAGGGAAUGAGACCCUAAUCACCCUUAUUAUGACUUAUAUAUUCCUUUGAAAAUCUCGGGAAGUAAUUUAAGGUGUUCCCCCACUCCGAAAAGGACUUUGGAAUCCUAGGUACAUCCUUAAGAAAUUUAGUGAAUAAAUUAUAUAAUUUUCCAUAAAAAUAUAUAUUAAAAAAUAAAGAAAUAUGGAAAAAAAAAUAAUAGGACUUUCUAGUAAAAAAAAUUAUUUGAUUUUAAUAAAAAAAAUUAUUAAUCAUAAAAAGAACACAUGGAACAUAAUAGGAAUUUUUAAUAAAUAAAUAAUUUAAAUUUUUUAUUAAAAAAUAAAUAAUAUAUAUUCUAGAAAUAAAGAAAGAGAUGAUAUAAAAAAAUGUAAACAAAAGAAUUUGUAAAUAAAUAAAUUAUUUAAAAAAAUCUAAAUAAAGUAUCAUAUAUUAAAUAAUAAAGAAAAAUAUGUACAACAAGGUUUAAUAAAUAAUAAAUUAUUUAGGAUUGGGCUUAUGGCAAGCUCAAGCCCAGCCCAUGCAUGGUCCCUAUAAGUAGAUAUUUAAUCAUGCAACCUACUACAGUGAUUUAAUACAUACUAAAAAUAGAAUCCAUCAUCACGUUUCCUUGUUUUGUACUCAAGUUUAAUAUCAACUCUUAACUACAUAAAAUAUUAAAUUAUACUAAAAUAAUAUAAAUUAUAUAUUGUAAUGUAAAUAUGUAAUUUAUAUAAGAAUAAGAUCUUAAUAAAAUAAAAUGAGAGAAUCUUUUUCCGAACAAUUUUAUCCAAGCUUCAUUCAGGAUUUGAUUUUAGAAAAAAGGCAAAUAGAGUGAAUAAAUGAAGGAAUUCUUGAGUGGAUUGUAGGAAUUGGGUUCGAUAAUAAUAAUAUCUCCCAAACAUGUCAAAACUUGAUAUCAUCCCACCAGGAGAUGUAAGGAUUGAUACAUAAAAUAUUUUUUUUAUAAUGAAAUAAAUAUGUCUAAAUACUUUAUUUUAUGGAUAAAUCAUUUAAAUCCAAUUGAUAAAGAAAACAUCAUAAAGAUCGGGUUUUAAGCUGAUACAAUAAUAAGUGUUUGGAGUUUUAUCAACAACUUGCUUGUGUGUGUGGGAAUUUGGUAUUUUCUGAAUCAUUAUGUAAGGAAUUAUCUUUGGUAGUUGAGAUUUGAAGGUUCCAUACAUGUUACAUCUUCAUGGUUGGAAACAUGAAGCUGGAAACCCCUCAUUUCUAACAACUGACCAUAUGUACAUGCAAAUUCACAUAUUCAUGAUAUUUUGCAGUUGGGCUAUUGCAAAAAUAGAUCAGGUAUAUUACUGAGGAUAUAUACGUCUAGCCAUGUUUUUUGCUUUUGUCCAAUUUAGAUGAUGUGCUUUGGACCAAUAUGUUCAGUCGUUGACCAUAUGACUAGGAGCUAGCCGUGUAAGCUUUUUAUGCUUUUUCAGAAUCAUGUGAGCACAAAAUUCUUAAUAGUACAAACCCAUAAGUAUGAAAAGGGAAAAAAAUAAAAGUAUGAAUGUAUAUAUUGAUGUAAGAAUUUACAUGAUAACUGUGUUGAAUAAUCAAGAAAGCAAAAAUGAACACAAACAAAACAAACAAAGAUGGACUUUUCCUUUUCUAACUCCAAGCAACCCCUCUGAUGUAUUCUUCAACCCCCACAAAAAGCCCUUACAAUUUGAGGGUGGACUAGCUCUACUGAAACCCUGAGUUUCCUUCAUUUGAGGAGACCAAGUUGAAGAAGUACCACCAUAAAAAUGCUAUGAUAACUCUACCUCUAAACUCUUGGAACUAAGCAUGCCAUGCUCCUUAAAGAACCCGGUCAUCGAAUUCUCCAACAAGGAAAUGUCUACAACAAAUAAAAUCUCAAGGAAUCAACAAAUAUGGGUUAUGCAAAACUGUCCUGGUUUGCAUUAGUGACCCUUUCCACGAUGACUUGGACCGGAAUAGGCUCGGUUUGUGAAGAACUCUUUGAUGGGUGAAGGAAAAGGCUGGUCCUUGAGAGGUCUCAAGCCAUCAACAUGCAUGGCAUAGGAGAGGAAGAGGAAGAAGAUGAUGAUGGAAAUGGUAUUGAAAGCAAAAAUGAGAGAAUGGCUCUUCAUUGUGGUGGCCUUUGUGUGUGGUUAGGCUAUUGGGUUUUGGGAGUUUUGAGAUAUGGUAUGUAGGGAGAAUGGAAAUAGGGACUUGUAUAUAAAGGAAAUGAAGAAGGGCGUUUGUGUGUUUUUCUUGACUUUGGUAAUUGUUGGUGUAUUUUGUAUAUUGAAAUAUUUGAAUUUGCAGCUCAAACUUUGAAAAUAGGAAUGUAGGUGGAUCAAAACAUAUGGCCAAGUCAAUGUCGGGCAAAAUAUAACUACGUUGUUAGUCUUUUGGUAGGCUACAAAUUUAGCUUUUUUAAUAUGUUUGGUUGUUAUUUAUCUUGAACUUGGAACUAAGUUCCGUACUGUCACAACCCAACGAUAAACGUAAAGUUGUCCCCUUUCCCCGACUCAUUCCACUCUCUCCACCUUCCUUUCCCAUUGAGACCCUUAAUGGGUCAAACACACAUCUCACACGUAGAAUGAAAACUAGCACAU
rnacentral:lncRNA from 1 species